rnacentral:misc_RNA from 1 species
GAUGAAGAAUGUAGCGAAAUGCGAUAAGUAAUGUGAAUUGCAGAAUUCAGUGAAUCAUCGAAUCUUUGAACGCACAUUGCGCCCAUUAGUAUUCUAGUGGGCAUGCCUGUUCGAGCGUCAUUAAGUCCACUUAAGCCUAGCUUAGUGUUGGGAGACUGCUCCAGUGGUGCUACCCUGUAGCUACCCUGCAGCUCCUUAAAGACAGCGGCGGAGUCGUGUUAUCCUCUGAGCUUAGUAAAUCAUUCUAGCUUUCGAGAGUAUCACUUCACCUGCCGUUAAACCACCUAAUUUUUAUGGUUGACCUCGGAUCAGGUAGGAAUACCCGCUGAACUUAAGCAUAUCAAUAAGCGGAGGA